rnacentral:rRNA from 1 species
ACAUAGGGUGCAAGCGUUGUCCGGAAUUAUUGGGCGUAAAGAGCUCGUAGGUGGUUCGUCACGUCGGAUGUGAAACUCUGGGGCUUAACCCCAGACCUGCAUUCGAUACGGGCGAGCUUGAGUAUGGUAGGGGAGUCUGGAAUUCCUGGUGUAGCGGUGGAAUGCGCAGAUAUCAGGAGGAACACCAAUGGCGAAGGCAGGACUCUGGGCCAUUACUGACACUGAGGAGCGAAAGCGUGGGGAGCGAACAGGAUUAGAUACCCUGGUAGUCCACGCCGUAAACGGUGGGCACUAGUUGUGGGGACCUUCCACGGUCUCUGCGACGCAGCUAACGCAUUAAGUGCCCCGCCUGGGGAGUACGAUCGCAAGAUUA